UAUAUUAGCGCCAUUUAUUGCUGCUUGGACCACAGCAUCUUCGGAAUUUGUAGACAUCCUGGCAGCUUACAAUUAGUUCGAGGGUGCUGACCCAAAUCUGUGUGGACCAGAACGUACCAAAGAGAACUACAACUCUGCUGUUGAUCGCCUCCAGAUUGACAAUACACCAGACGUCGAAGGAGUGAAGUUCAGACACUGAAUUUGAGCAGAAACCAUAAGGAUACUCAAAGGACCUGUGACUCUCAGGAAAUGCAUCAAAUGAGAGGGACAGAUGAAACAGUUUCAAGACAAUGGCAGGAAAAACAUGCUGAAGAUUGAAACAAACCUUGGCUGGAAAUAUUUGAAGGUAUCUAGCCAGUCCACAAUGAAAGCUUCGUUGCACCCCAUGAGUCUUCUGGCAGAAAUGAUGGCGCCUGUAUUCUUUGGUUUCCUAAACAUCACACCCUGCCUGUUUAUACGAGGCUCUUCAAUUAAGUCUGCACCCAAAGAUUCAAUAAGAGGUAAGCAGUGGUAUUAUUCAAGUUUUGCUAAAGAAAGAUGGACAGGAGACACUAAUCUUAAUCAGCCGAGCUCAGGUUCAUGUCCAGGUGAGCAGUUUCAUAUGCUAUAAAAUGUAGAUUGAAUGAUAGGUCUCAUCACCAUGCAUUCAGCCAUUAACUUCAAGUUCUAUGAUAAAUCAAUAGAAAACUUAAAUACGUUUUCCAACAAAUUAUGAUUGUGAUUAGGGCUGCGUUGUCUAUGUAUCACUUUUACAUAAGUAGAUUUAAAGG